GCUUGUCUCAAAGAUUAAGCCAUGCAUGUCUAAGUAUAAACUAUUUUAUACUGUGAAACUGCGAAUGGCUCAUUAAAACAGUUAUAGUUUAUUUGAUAAUCGAAUCUACAUGGAUAACCGUGGUAAUUCUAGAGCUAAUACAUGCUGGUUAGCCUGACUUCGCGGAAGGGCUGUAUUUAUUAGAUAACAAACCAAUAUUCCUUGUGUCUAUUGUGAUGACUCAUAAUAACUGAUCGAAUCGCAUGGACCUUGUCCGCGAUACAUCAUUCAAGUUUCUGCCCCAUCAGCUUUCGAUGGUAGUGUAUUGGACUACCAUGGCUUUAACGGGUAACGGAGGAUUAGGGUUCGAUUCCGGAGAGGGAGCCUGAGAAACGGCUACCACAUCUAAGGAAGGCAGCAGG
rnacentral:rRNA from 1 species